rnacentral:snRNA from 1 species
UGGUGUUACAGCUCUUUUAGAAUGUGUCUGGUAGGUUUUCUGGUUCUCACCCAAAGACACCCCC